rnacentral:rRNA from 1 species
UACAGAGGGUGCAAGCGUUAAUCGGAAUUACUGGGCGUAAAGCGUGCGCAGGCGGUUUUGUAAGACCGAUGUGAAAUCCCCGGGCUCAACCUGGGAACUGCAUUGGUGACUGCAAGGCUUGAGUGUGUCAGAGGGAGGUGGAAUUCCGCGUGUAGCAGUGAAAUGCGUAGAUAUGCGGAGGAACACCGAUGGCGAAGGCAGCCUCCUGGGAUAACACUGACGCUCAUGCACGAAAGCGUGGGGAGCAAACAGG